rnacentral:rRNA from 3 species
UGAGGAAUAUUGGUCAAUGGACGAGAGUCUGAACCAGCCAAGUAGCGUGAAGGAUGACUGCCCUAUGGGUUGUAAACUUCUUUUAUAAGGGAAUAAAGUGAGGGACGUGUCCCUUUUUGUAUGUACCUUAUGAAUAAGGAUCGGCUAACUCCGUGCCAGCAGCCGCGGUAAUACGGAGGAUCCAAGCGUUAUCCGGAUUUAUUGGGUUUAAAGGGAGCGUAGGUUGACAUAUAAGUCAGCUGUGAAAGUUUACGGCUCAACCGUGAAAUUGCAGUUGAUACUGUAUGUCUUGAGUGUACAAGAGGUGGGCGGAAUUCGUGGUGUAGCGGUGAAAUGCUUAGAUAUCACGAAGAACUCCAAUUGCGAAGGCAGCUCACUGGGGUACAACUGACACUGAGGCUCGAAAGUGUGGGUAUCAAACAGG